rnacentral:tRNA from 1 species
GUGGGUGUGGCUCAGUGGUUGAGUGCUUGCCUAGCAUGCACGAGGCCCUGGGUUCCAUCCCCAGCACCAUA